CGCCAGACUCCUACGGGAGGCAGCAGUGGGGGAUAUUGCACAAUGGGGGGAACCCUGAUGCAGCGACGCCGCGUGGGUGAAGGAGCGUUUCGGCGCGUAAAGCCCUAUCGGCAGGGAAGAAGGAGGACGGUACCUGACUAAGAAGCCCCGGCUAACUACGUGCCAGCAGCCGCGGGAAUACGUAGGGGGCAAGCGUUAUCCGGAUUCACUGGGUGUAAAGGGAGCGUAGACGGCGGCGCAAGUCUGGAGUGAAAGCCCGGGGCCCAACCCCGGGACUGCUCUGGAAACUGCGGCGCUGGAGUACGGGAGGGGCAGGCGGAAUUCCUGGUGUAGCGGUGAAAUGCGUAGAUAUCAGGAGGAACACCGGCGGCGAAGGCGGCCUGCUGGACCGUGACUGACGUUGAGGCUCGAGAGCGUGGGGAGCAAACAGGAUUAGAUACCCUAGUA
rnacentral:rRNA from 1 species